rnacentral:misc_RNA from 1 species
AGCAAAAGGCUUUACUCAGAGGGAAGGAAUUGACUUUAAUGAAGUGUUUUCCCCAGUUGUGAAGCAAAAUUCUAUCAAGGUCUUACUUGCUAUGGUUCCUCUUAAUGAUCUAGAGCUUGAGCAACUAAAUGUAAAGAUAACAUUUUUGCAUGGUAAGCUAGAAGAGAAAAUUUAUAUGAGUCAUCCUGAAGGAUUUGUCGUUCCAGGUAUAGAAAACCAUGUUUGUUUGCUUAAGAAGUCUUUAUA